rnacentral:lncRNA from 1 species
GGAAGAGACAAUACGGGAUAAUCAGGAAUAUUUUAAAAUUUAAUUGUUAGAUAAUCUGCCUUGGCUGUGUUUUAAAAGUCAGUAGUGCCUGGGUAACCAACUUUUUGUGAAAAAAUAUAUUUUUACGAAGACAGAAUUAUGGGUCUUAGUUGGGAACCCCAGCUCAGAUGCCCAAUUGGAGCACCAGCGGCAAGCCGUCUCAAGGCGUCCGUUUGGGUGGGGGGAAGGGCAUCGGGAAGAGUGGCUUAUGGUGAAUGAGUCGGAGUACUUGGUGUCGCAGUGUCAAGUCCUUGGGGUUUGGGCCAUAUUGGAGAAUGGCACGCUGAUAGAGACGAACGUAGCUUAGGAGACGAGAGGGAGAUGAUGGGAGAUUGAGGAAAUAUAUUGCUGAUGGGUGUGUUAAACGGGAUAUUUUAGAAAUUCCUGAUUUGUGUACGUUAUUGUUUCGUAAAUUUGUAUAUGCAAAAUAUUUUAAAAGAAAAGUUUUCAAAUUAUUUUUUGGGAAAGUUUUGAAGAAUGUCCAUGGUAUUCUUACUAUCAAUUUUUUUUUGAUAAAAUUGAUGAAAAAUUUUAGUAAAGAUUAGAGAAGGAAUACUGGUUCCUAGUC